AUGGCGUGGGGCUGCAUGACAGCCCUCAGCCAAUCAGCAGCAAGGGACAGGGCUGUAUGACAGAUCAGACCUUGCAGCCAAUCAGAUGUGAGGGUGGCAGCACUGGGGCCCCCCUCAGCCAAUCAGAGGUAUGAAGAGGCUUUGCCACGAUUGAUCCAUGAGAAUGAUGGCUGCCUCCACGAUCUACCUGCAAAAUGGGCUGGCUGCCACCUUGGUGGCUCUGCUUUGAAGAUGAGAUUUCAUGAACAAAAGAGCUUUGAAAUUGCCAGUCUAACUCCUCCAGCACUCCAGAUGUGUGACCUUGAUGCAUCUCAUUUAAAACAAAAAAAAAACACCGUAUGGCUAGCUUGUUGCUGAUAAAAGAUAGUUGUUCUACUGCCUUGGGGCAGUUAAGUAUUUCUACCAAGAAUUUCAAUAAUUAACCAGUUAUAUUAGACUGUUGAAUGAAUAGGCUUGAAUUUCUGCAGGUUAGUAAUCUGUACUUCAGGCUUUUGGAACACAGCAUUCUUACAUGAAUAAACGUUUUUGUCUUGAAACAUAGUUAAGUUAUACCCAUUAUCAGAAAAUCUUGGGUCAAAAAUAAAUCCAUGGGAAAAGAUAGCUUGGAAAUAACAUCCGGACUGAAAAUCUAGCCCCAAAUUUGCAAGAAUACUAGGGAUAUUGUCAAUCUGUGACCAUAAAAGGGUCCAGUUCUUUCAUCAUUACUUGCUACAGGCUUGAUACUCUGUCACUGAAGUCAAUGGGAGCUUCGGAACUAACUCUGAGGAGGGCACAUCCCUCCUGAUACAUAGUUCUUUAGCCCGCAAGUAGUCUGACUGAAACAAAGUGUACAUAUCUGCUUGCAGUGCAAAGUAUUUGCACUAGGAAGAGGGGCCCACUGCACAGAUAUACAGUGGUAAGAAAGGCCUUCUGGAUCUGCAUUUCUCAAUCUUUUCAGCUUGGAAACUCCUUAUUCAAACUUAAGUAUUCUGUCACUUCUGUAGUAUAGGUAAGAGUAAAAAAGACAGAAAUGAUACCCCUAUAUAAUCAAAGUAUGUGCAUUAGAAGGUUGACAGAGUACAGUUGUCCUUGAAGGGUACGAGUGAGCAGGGCAUAUGGAAAUGAAAUGUCCUUUGGUUUGCACUGCAGUGUUUCAACUUCUUACAACCUUCCCUUUGUUUUGGUAGCCUCCCCACCCUACUAGAUCCUAUCAUUUGAAUAAAGAAUUGGGGCACUAGGGUUGGGACUUGGAUUAUUUGCAUUCAAUUCCUGGCUCAGCCACAGACUCUGAUUUUGGGCAAGUAUCUUAAACCAGUUUUGAAGGUAUUUAGAUGCCUAACUCUCACUGAAAUCUGAGAGUUGUGUGCCUAACUACCUUACAAAAACUUGGUUGUUAAACUAAUUUAGAGAAUGGGAAUACGAUUUCCCUACCUUUUAGGGAUUUUAUUGGUUGUAAUAAUUGCAGUAUUUUCAGAGCUCUUGGAUAUUGUAUGCAGUGUUGGAUAAUGGAAACAAUGAAAAACACAACAAGCAAAUACUAAAUUGAGCAACUCAUAGAAAAUUAAGAGUUUUAGACUGCCUUAUUCCUUCUGCUUAGGCCCAUAUCAUGUGAAACAACAGUCUGGCUAUGUGAAUGUUUGUUUGUAAUGGCUUAACUUUAUUAAAAAGGUUUUUAUCUUUUG